rnacentral:rRNA from 1 species
GAUGAACGCUAGCGGCAGGCCUAAUACAUGCAAGUCGUACGGUGUCUUCGGACAUAGUGGCGCACGGGUGCGUAACACGUAUGCAACCUACCUUACAUUGGGGGAUAGCCUUUCGAAAGGGAGAUUAAUACCGCAUAAGACAGUAGCUGGGCAUCCAGCAGCUGUUAAAGAUUUAUCGAUGUAAGCUGGGCAUGCGUCCAAUUAGCUAGUUGGUGAGGUAACGGCUCACCAAGGCAAUGAUUGGUAGGGGAACUGAGAGGUCAAUCCCCCACACUGGCACUGAGAUACGGGCCAGACUCCUACGGGGGGCAGCAGUAGGGAAUAUUGGGCAACGGACGCAAGUCUGACCCAGCCAUGCCGCGUGCAGGAUGAAGGCGUUAUGCGUUGUAAACUGCUUUUAUACAGGAAGAAACGACUCUUGCGAGAGGCAUUGACGGUACUGUAUGAAUAAGCACCGGCUAACUCCGUGCCAGCCGCCGCGGUAAGAC